AAGCCAGUGGUGAACUCCACAUACGCAUCCUUUGCUGAGGAUACGGUUAACGGAGCGAAAGCGACGUUCAACCGCAAAAGAAGCAGAGGGGGCUUAGUGGUGGGGUGACUGCGUACCUUUUGUAUAAUGGGUCAGCGACUUAUAUUCUGUAGCAAGGUUAACCGAAUAGGGGAGCCGGAGGGAAACCGAGUCUUAAUUGGGCGUUAAGUUGCAGGGUAUAGACCCGAAACCCGGUGAUCUAGCCAUGGGCAGGUUGAAGGUUGGGUAACACUAACUGGAGGACCGAACCGACUAAUGUUGAAAAAUUAGCGGAUGACCUGUGGCUGGGGGUGAAAGGCCAAUCAAACCGGGAGAUAGCUGGUUCUCCCCGAAAGCUAUUUAGGUAGCGCCUCGUGAAUUCAUCUCCGGGGGUAGAGCACUGUUUCGGCUAGGGGGCCAUCCCGGCUUACCAACCCGAUGCAAACUGCGAAUACCGGAGAAUGUUAUCACGGGAGACACACGGCGGGUGCUAACGUCCGUCGUGAAGAGGGAAACAACCCAGACCGCCAGCUAAGGUCCCAAAGUCAUGGUUAAGUGGGAAACGAUGUGGGAAGGCCCAGACAGCCAGGAUGUUGGCUUAGAAGCAGCCAUCAUUUAAAGAAAGCGUAAUAGCUCACUGGUCGAGUCGGCCUGCGCGGAAGAUGUAACGGGGCUAAACCAUG
rnacentral:rRNA from 1 species